rnacentral:lncRNA from 1 species
AUUUUUAUAAAAAAUAAUUAUUCUCUAUAAAAUAUCUUGUUUUUCAUUGUAAACCGAGUUUGGUUACUAUGGAAAUUUUGUCAAAGAUAUGCUGUAUAUAUGUUUGUGUUAUUUUUUGCUAUUAUAGGUUCUGUAGUUGGCCAUGGACAUGGUCUUCCACCUUGUUGUGAAAUGUUAAGACCAUGUGAUCCGAUUGUUUGUGAUAGACCUCCAUGUUACCUCCCUCUAUCUAGUGAUGUUAGUGAUGUUAAACCCUAAAACUAUGCAACUC